CUCAUCAGGACAACAAAGUUUUAGGAUUGACAGAUUGAUAGCUCUUUCUUGAUUGACUUAAUGGUGGUGCAUGGCCGUUCUUAGUUGGUGGAGUGAUUUGUCUGGUUAAUUCCGUUAACGAACGAGACCUUAACCUACUAACUAGUACGACGUGACGAACGUUAGUUACUUCUUAGAGGGACAAUGUGUAUUUUUUAACACAAGGAAGUUUAAGGCAAUAACAGGUCUGUGAUGCCCUUAGAUGUCCUGAGCCGCACACGCGCUACAAUGACACUUUCAAUAAGUUUUUGCUGGUCCGACAGGAUUUCGGCUAAUCUUUUUAGUAAGUGUCGUGCUAGGGAUAGAUCUUUGCAAUUGUGGAUCUUGAACGAGGAAUUCCUAGUAAGCACAAGUCAUCAGCUUGUGCUGAUUACGUCCCUG
rnacentral:rRNA from 1 species